rnacentral:rRNA from 1 species
CCGACGGGAGGCUGCAGUGGGGAAUAUUGGACAAUGGGCGAAAGCCUGAUCCAGCCAUGCCGCGUGUGUGAAGAAGGCCUUCGGGUUGUAAAGCACUUUCAGUGGGGAAGAAAGCCUUGGGGCUAAUACCCUCGAGGAAGGACAUCACCCACAGAAGAAGCACCGGCUAACUCCGUGCCAGCAGCCGCGGUAAUACGGAGGGUGCGAGCGUUAAUCGGAAUUACUGGGCGUAAAGCGCGCGUAGGCGGUCUGAUAAGCCGGUUGUGAAAGCCCCGGGCUCAACCUGGGAACGGCAUCCGGAACUGUCAGGCUAGAGUGCAGGAGAGGAAGGUAGAAUUCCCGGUGUAGCGGUGAAAUGCGUAGAGAUCGGGAGGAAUACCAGUGGCGAAGGCGGCCUUCUGGACUGACACUGACGCUGAGGUGCGAAAGCGUGGGUAGCAAACAGGAUUAGAUACCCCGGUAGUC